CUCUCCUUUCUCCCCCCUUUCCUCGCCUCUCUCCUCGCUCGCUUGUGUCUCUUUCGGAGUGAACUAUGUCGGGCUUCGACGCGCAGCGGAGAACAGCCCGAGUGAGUGCGGCUUUUUCUUUCUCUUUCCUCCCGUUGGAAAAAAAAAAAACUUCACCCACGCCGCUCGCAAUCAUGACGGGGGGGACGUGGACGAGCACGUCCGUGGCGUGGGGAGCUGAGUUUCACCUCUCACGCGCCGCUUUUCCUCCGUGGAGCCGCGGAUCCGCCGUGAAACCGGAUUACAGCCGGUGUGUGACCUAAAGGGAGGACCGCGUACUCAAUGAAUAUAUUGGUUUAAAUGAAAGGCAGGGCAGGGGGGGUGGGGGGGGCAGCUGCUUAUUUAUUUGCAAUCGAUUUCUUUCUUCAUUGAUUUAAAUUUAAAAGCGCAGAUUCUUCCAGUUGUUCAUGUCGGAUUAAGAAUGCUUGUUUGUUCUGAUGCCUCCUGUUUGUAACUCUUCUCCUCCUUAAUAAAAAAGUCAAGGUUUUACGGCACAUUAUCCACCUGUUUUUCCCCUCUUUUAUUUGUUAAAUAUUUGACAACUUGAAAUGUUUUUGCCCCCCCCCCCCCCUUAAAAAAUAAAUAAAAAUAAUCAAUAAGUGGAUACUCAGUUGGGUUUAAUGGUUUUUAGCAUCAAAUUAUAAUUAUAAUAAUAAUAAUAAUAAUUUUUC